GAGACGUUAACAUAAGAAGACAAGCCUCUCUAUGAUGAAAUCUAAAUUAUAAGAGUUACUCGGUAUAUAUUAUUUCAAGAAAAAAGACGCAGGAAGAGUAGGAUUUAGAAAGAAAAGAAAACAAUAUUUUUCUUUUGGAGAGAAAAGAAAAGGGAAAGUGGCAGAAGCUGUAACAUUGAGGAGGGGGAGACGUUAACCCAGUGCCAUUGACGGCAUGGAAUUACAGCACGGCAAGAAAACCUCGGCAUGCGGGCUGUCAGUAACGUGUUUUUCAAAUGCCCAGCAUUCUUGGUCGCCGCGGCGCCGCUGUUUGCGGCCAAUUCACGUUCGCAAUUUCACAUGAAUGCAAUUUAUUACUGUCUUCCUAUAGAAUGAUUGACAGGAGUGUAUACAAGUAUGAAUGCGACCACAUUUUGCAAUUGUACUAAGGUAUUUCAAACAGUUUCACCCAAAAUUUCUUCUCUAACAAAAUUGAUAUCAAUUAAUUUACUUUUUUUAAAGCUUUAAUGCAUUCAUCGAUCAAAUCGACUUCUGAACCAUCAAAAAAAGUUUGAAUAUUUUUGUUUGAUAGAUAAAGAAUUUUCUCAUUUUCAUAUGAUAAAAUUCCUUGUAUAAACAAGUAAAAAUACCUUUUGUAGAUGCUUAGAGGUCUAUGGGCAGUUUAGAUGGAAUGGCGGAUGAGGUGAAGAUGUCUUUAACUUAUACCAUUACUAAAUAGAGUACAGCAAUGAUAGAGAUAGAUCAACACGUGUAAGGAGAAAGAAGCAUUGUGUAAAGACAGAUGUACACGUAGCAACAACCAUUAGAGAGAUAAACCAAGUGACUAACAAGCCAUGAGUGAUGGCGAAUAGUAAAAUUGAGCAGUAGUAGUGAGAUAGUGCCGCAGAAGAAUUGUGAUUUAGUUUAGAGAG
rnacentral:lncRNA from 1 species